UACGUAGGAGGCAAGCGUUGUCCGGAAUCACUGGGCGUAAAGCGCGUGUAGGUGGAAGAGGAAGUCUGCUGUGAAAGCGCCUGGCUUAACCGGGCGAGGUCGGUGGAAACUCCUCAUCUAGAGGUCGGUAGAGGGGGGGUGGAAUUCCGGGUGUAGUGGUGAAAUGCGUAGAUAUCGGAAGGAACACCAGUGGCGAAAGCGGCUUCCUGGUCCGACACCGACGUUCAGGCACGAAAAGCGUGGGGGAGCAAAACAGG
rnacentral:rRNA from 1 species